CACUUUGGUGGACGUAGGAAUUUUCAAUGUCAAGCGGUUUGAUAGGGCAACGCACUGUCCCCCUCAGGGAGACGUGGACGGUAAUUACCCUUCACAUCAGUUUCGUUACUCAUUCGGGGUCUUAUACACAAUCUCAUUUUUUUUGUUGAAGACGACGAUGUGGAAGGUAGCUGUAACGCCCGCCUUUUUCCUUUCUUUUUGGGGUAUGUAUUUUUUUUUUUUAUUUAAGCGUCCUUGUUUUGUUUCGACAAUCUAUGAAUAUGUUUUAUCGAAAGAUCGACGAAUGUUUUGAGUCGUGUUGUUGAUUAAUUGUGUGGUGUAAAUUGUCGACGAGAUUGACGCGAGAAUCGUCGAUGGGAAAAUUUGGGCGUUCGUUUACAAUGUACUUGGAAUAACACCAAAGUACUAAAAUAAUAAAACACCACAAUUUAAUCAAGGUACUAAAAUUAUAUAUAUUUGGGCCUAUCAUCUUUGUCUAUUUUUUUAGCCCAUUUAUUCUUAUUCAAUUGGGCUACUAUUAAUAUAGCCAUUAUUUCCUUAACCCUUCUACACGUUUUCUUUCCUUCUCCAAAACCUUCACUCCUAAAAUCUCUCCAACCAAAUAACCCCCCCCCCUUUUACGCCACAUACAUAUAUAUCUUCCCUUAAUCUCAGCAAAUUACCGUCUUCCGUUCUGCAAUUUUUCUCCUCCUCUGUUAAGUUUGAGGGAGAAACCAAGAGAGUUGCGAUUUUUCAAUACCUUCUCUUCUGCAAGUUUUGCCUCUUCGGGAAGGGUGAAUUUGUGCACGUGUUGCGGAUUGGAACAAGGAAGUGUUGAGGAGUUAAGCACUUGAGAUUGAGCGGCGAUGGGCGUGGAGGAUGUUGAGCAGGGUUCAUGGAUCGUUUUGUCAUGAUUAAUAAUUGUUGGAUUUGUCGUGUCUUCAUACUCGGCAUUUUCCGUGUCUUGAACGCUUCCGCUAAGAGUCAUUUUCUUUAGAAUUGUUUAUCCGUGGAGAGUCUAACUCGUUGACAAAUUGUUUUUGUCCAUUCUUUUUCUUAGAUUUGGUAUUGUUGUUAGAAUAA